UACAGAGGUCCCGAGCGUUGUUCGGAUUCACUGGGCGUAAAGGGUGCGUAGGUGGUGAGGUAAGUCGGAUGUGAAAUCUCCAAGCUCAACUUGGAAACUGCAUUGGAAACUACCUUGCUAGAGAAUUUGAGGGGGGAUUGGAAUACUUGGUGUAGCAGUGAAAUGCGUAGAUAUCAAGUGGAACACCAGUGGCGAAGGCGAAUCCCUGGAAAAUACCUGACACUGAGGCACGAAAGCUAGGGGAGCAAACAGG
rnacentral:rRNA from 1 species